CUUAGAGGCAGGAUAGAGUGUCAGUUACCAUGGGUGACAAGGGGAGGAUAAGGGAAGAAUUGUGCAAAGAAAACCAACCUACAAGUCCUGGUUUUUUGCCUUGAAGCCAGGAGCCUGUGAACAAAGGAAGGGAGGCGUCCUGUGUUCAAGCAAUACAGCUCCUUCUCAUGACUGUGAAAACCUGACUGAACAAUUGAAUUCAAACGGUUUGGAAAACCAGGGACUUUAUGUUCAUCUGACUUCCUACUUCCUUCCAUGGGGUUUCCAAAAGCCGUAGUUAGAGAUAAUUAGGUACUAGAGUACCGAAGGCUAUCAUGUUCCAGGUACCUAGGCUGUAUCUGCAGAACUCUUGGGCUUUUUUUUUUAAGGUGGCUGUUUUUUCUCAUGGAAUCUGGCACAAGAAUCCUUUUAUAUCACAUGAUUGUGAAGCUCUGGAGAAAACAGUACAGGUCUUGUUGCAAUGAGAGGAAGAACUUGUAUAGCCAAAACAUCCUCUAGUGCCUUGAGCUGAUACAAACACCAUCGUUGGAUAAGAUCAAUUUUGCAUCCCAUCUAAGCAAUUUAUGAGUGGAUUCUCACAAGCCUCAUUUUGUGUUGUCUCUGUGAUUUAGCCAAACCUUCUUAGUCCAAGUGGGGUGGAGGAGGGGUGGGGUGGCUGACCAGAAUUCUUGUCAUCUCCCUCUUAGUUUCCAAAGAUGUUAGAUAUUAUUAGUGAUAUUUAUACUCAUAAUAAAUGUAUACUUAUAUAUUGUAAUUAUAUCACAAAAUAUGAA